rnacentral:rRNA from 1 species
UCCAGACUCCUACGGGAGGCAGCAGUGGGGGAUAUUGCACAAUGGGGGGAACCCUGAUGCAGCGACGCCGCGUGGGUGAAGGAGCGUUUCGGCGCGUAAAGCCCUAUCGGCAGGGAAGAAGGAGGACGGUACCUGACUAAGAAGCCCCGGCUAACUACGUGCCAGCAGCCGCGGUAAUACGUAGGGGGCAAGCGUUAUCCGGAUUUACUGGGUGUAAAGGGGGCGCAGACGGCAGCGCAAGCCAGGAGUGAAAGCCCGGGGCCCAACCCCGGGACUGCUCUUGGAACUGCGCGGCUGGAGUGCAGGAGGGGCAGGCGGAAUUCCUGGUGUAGCGGUGAAAUGCGUAGAUAUCAGGAGGAACACCGGUGGCGAAGGCGGCCUGCUGGACUGCGACUGACGUUGAGGCCCGAAAGCGUGGGGAGCAAACAGGAUUAGAUACCCCCGUAAUA